GCGGGGUCGUCGCUCCUCCCCCGCUCGCGCCGCACCCUCUCCUCUUCCUCCCGCCUCGCCUCUCUCCCUCCCUCCAAACCCUAGAGCCGCCCGCGCCUCCCUGCUCCGCCGCCGUCAUCUCCUUCGCCCGGCCGGCUGCCGCUGCACCGCACGCCCGUGCGUAGGGGCGAGAAGGAGAACCACCGCCCGCCCCCGGAGCGCGAGGAGGACGGCGCUAACGCCGAGAUCGCGCACAUCGAGCCCGAGAUCCUGCGCCUCUCCUUCAAUUUCCUCCACCUCCGCGUCUUCCGGGGCCACGACGCGCAGCCGAGCGGGACGGGGCCGCGUGCGAGGGGGGAGGCCUCGCCCCCCUUGAUCUGGACGGGGCCGCGGCCUGCCUACACCACCGCCAGCCCGCCGCCGCGACGCGCCUUGCAGGCCGACGCCUCCGCUGCCCCGCCACCGGUACAGGAGCCCAGCAGCUCCUCCCUCCCUGGAGGAGCUGCUCCCGCCCAACAGCGCCUUCCUCCCUGGAGCAGCCGCUCCCGCCUAGCAACGCCGCGGCCCGAAGUUGCGCCGGCGACCCGUCCAGAGGCAGUCGCAGAUGAUUGAUCAACAGACCUACCUAUGAAGGUAGAGUGGAAGAACUGGAAAUAAAGAUGCAGGGAAAGGACAAUGAUGCUGCAACAUCACUUGUUUCAUGGCAUAAAGAGACAGAGCUGGUUCAAGGGUAGAGCCAUAGAUUUAGCCUCUAAAAAUAGGCUCUGAACAAAUUUAACCACGAUAUGCACGCAAGGGCAGUGAUGUCUUUUACUACUUGAGAGGCCCAACAAGCCACUAGAUGCUACCAGCACUUCACAAGGACACAAAAUACCAACAGUGGAAGACACCUAAGGUAAAAAUUCAAAGGAAAGGUGAGUACAGCUAUACAGAAUGUUGACGUAAUGAUAUUGUACCAUGCAACAUUGUGAAUGAGUUAUUUCGCAAAGAAGAUAGAGCUGAUUCUGUCAAAAAAAUGAAGAUAGAGCUGAUCUUGGAGAAGAGUAGGAUAUACUGUGAUAAAUGAAGACCAAGUUGCGGUUGCUUCAUGGAUGUAUCGACCCUUUAGUGCUCUUUCUUUCUAAACAGCAUAUGUUUGCUUAUAUAAUCUUUUGAACCACUGCCUUCUGGGCUGUAAUAAUAGCGUACUGCUUAGAUUGUGGUUUGGUAUGUCAUUACAAGCUUAAAAUUAUCUGCUAUCUAAUUUUUAUGUAGUUCUUGCGUAAUAUUUGUUUCUGCUUUCAUCUUAGUAUGUCAUUACAAUCUAAUUGUUCGUUCUCACCUGGCUUAAUUAGCUGAAAACUGAUGUUCUGACGGUGCCAUUUUCUAUUUGCAGUACUAUUGCCGAGCCACCUUACCAUCACAAGUAUUUGCCUGAGCUCUGGUGAUUACUCCCAAGGAUUAGUCCAACAAAUACCAUUACUGAGGAGAACAGCAGCCUCGGCGCGGUGAUCAAGUCGCUCCUUAGCGCGGAUAAGUAGUGCCACCUGGCCAGCGGCAGAAAGUCCGCCGAUCGUCGGGAUCUGCUUCAUGGACGGCGCCUGGAAGAAGCUCAAUGACCAGACCAUCGUCCUCUCCAAGAGGAGGGGUCGGCUCAAGCAGUCAGACUUUGGCGAGCUGUGAAGAUUUUGCUUUUAGUCACAGAGAUAGGCUUCAAAUGUUAUCUACCUUGGUAAGGUGAUUCGUUGUCUUCAGCUGGUAUGUUUGAGCCUGUGCCAGGUUCAGUUAGCGAUAAUAACACCAACGGCUAAUUGUGAUAUUAUUUAUAGAGUUUUCAUAUUUAUCAUUAGGAUGAUGAAGCCUGUCAAGUAUUAUCCAAUACUAAUUAGCUUUGCCUCAGAACUUGGAAAGAGAAAGUAGAGUUAUCAAUAAUGAUCAGCUAUAAGGUACCAUUGAUAUCGAUGUUUCUAGAACAUCGUUUCUUUUGGUAUCCUGGGCCACAAGUACACUUUUCUUUUGGUAUAUAUUUGAUCUGCAUGCCCUAUAUUAAACUCGGUUAUCCUGGGCAGCA